GGAUUAGAUACCCUGGUAGUCCACGCCGUAAACGAUGUCUACUAGCCGUUGGGGUACUUGAUACCUUAGUGGCGCAGCUAACGCACUAAGUAGACCGCCUGGGGAGUACGGCCGCAAGGUUAAAACUCAAAUGAAUUGACGGGGGCCCGCACAAGCGGUGGAGCAUGUGGUUUAAUUCGAAGCAACGCGAAGAACCUUACCUACUCUUGAAAUCCUGCGAACUUGGUAGAGAUACCUUGGUGCCUUCGGGAACGCAGUGACAGGUGCUGCAUGGCUGUCGUCAGCUCGUGCUG
rnacentral:rRNA from 1 species